rnacentral:lncRNA from 1 species
UCUCUGCGUCUGGAGAACACAGGACGUCCACAGGAAAGUUCUCCCUCCUGCACUCCCGGCUGGCUCUGAAAAUUAUGAAGGCAGAGACGUCCGUGCCUGAUACUGUCCUGGCAGCCACGUGCCCUCAUACACUUGCCCAGACCCUGAAUGUGCUACACGGAGUGACCCCAAUUACACCGUGGGCCCCGGGUGACUGCGACAUCUCUCUUUUCCUUAAAAUAAAGGCUCUAAAAUUGUGUGAUUCCACCUCCCUGAGGCUAAGCGAAAGAGCCGCGUCUGCCCCUGUCCUUCCCGGGGGCUGGCAGGGAGUGGGUGCCCGGCGGUGACUCAGCCCUGCAGCCUCCCAGCCCUUCCCCGUAUGCGGGCAGGUGAUGCGGACGCCUCCGACCCUCGUGGGGUUUGUGGAGAGCGUUGAUCAGCGCUGCCGUCAGA